AGCUUCUUCUUCCCUUAUCCCCUUCGUACUUGCUCCCAGCCAAAUCAUUCACGUAUCCAUCUUCAAGCCAGCCGUCUCCUUAUCCCUGCGACGCCGCUCACCUAGGCUCAUCUUCCAGCCGCCCUCUCCACCCAGCAGCAGAGCACACCAUCCUCUCCACUCGGAUCCCCAAGCCCUCGCCUCCAUCUCUUGCCACGACAUCUGUCCCCUGCUCGAACCUCCACCCGGCCGCGUCCUCGCCGGUGGCCAGCGCCGCUGCAUCGCCCUUCCUAGCGUCGGCCUUGGCACCGCUUCCCCGAGCGCCCUAGUCGAGCUCGCCCAUCCUCUGCUCUAGCCCUUUCUCAACGCCGUCGCUGAGCUCGCCCCUCCCCUCAGCCAUGGACACGACGACCUGCAACCCUUCUUGGUGGCCAAGCCCAUCUUCCUGCUCGCGCCCCGUCUUUUUCCACCUCUGCGCGUAUCAGCUCGUCCAACCCCCAUGGUGUUUCCUCCCUCUCGGCUCCCUUGCUCCCUCCCCAUGGCGUUCCCCCUGGAUGUUGGUGAUCUGUUCCCCACGGUGCAGGCAAAUGUUCUUUCCCUCCCUGCAGCAGCACCUUGGUGGUUGUCGAGCAGCACAUCGCACUUGCGCAGCCUAGGUCACGACGUUGUCCACCUCGCUAACCAUUGGUGUCAUACCUCACGUGUCAUGUGUUCGACGAAAUGCCUAAACAUGUAGUCUGUCGUCGUCGUAUCCACAGUCAAUUUUAGUCAUGGUACGCUAAUGAUCGAGAUGCGACAGCCAGGGUCUAGGUUGACCCCAAGUGGUGCAAAGGAUGGCCUACUUCGAGAGGCGAUGUCGGCGGACCAAUCUAGAAGAUUGAUGAUCUCUACAUAAAAAUAGGAUUACAUUGAUUCAAAUCUGAUCUGGUGUUUGGCAUUUGUUUUCCCCCUACAUUAGUUUCUCAUUAUUAUAUUUGUAUAGAUUCAUAUUCUUGAGACUAACCUAAUCAGCAUUCUUUACAUAAUAAUAUUAUAAGGAGGAUUAAUUUCAUAUACAAUACUAUAUAUAAUGAGAUGAAUCAUUUGGCCUUAGAUAGAUAAUUGGCAGCCUAUCAAAAAUUUCAUAAGUGUAGAACAAUUUUUUUGCCGUUAACAUAGUGUAUAACAUUUGAUGUCGUAAUUUGUUUUGGAAGAAAAUUUAAUUUCAACAUAGAAUUUUUUUACCGAUAGGUUUAUGGUCUUUUAAUAUCUACAGGUUGUGGAAACUGAGAUCAUUGUAACUCAAAUGAGAGCUUGGCACUUAGCAUAUAGAUGCCACUAGAACCAAUUUGGAAUUACUGUGAGGAAAAACGGAUAUAGAGUGAUAAAAGGCAUUAAUGUAAGUACUACAUAAAUGUACUACUUGUAUUUUUCAAUAAUCAAUGCUUCAAAAGUCUAUAUAUAUGCUGACUGGUGUCAGGGUUUUCCCAUUAUUGUAAGUUUGUUACAAGCAAGUGCUUUCCCUCACACAACUUCACCUUUUCUUUGCAUGUUUAUUACUUUUGUUUGCUGGUUUUGACUUACAGCGAAUUGUGUAUGCAACUACUGUGGCAUAUCAGUGACCUUCCGAGAAGAUACAAUGGCGUUUUUAGUAGUAACGCUGCUUGAUUUCUAUAGUUGGAGUCAUCACACAGCUAACAUUUGCACUUGAACUGUUUAGUGAAAUGCUUAGGAGAAAGAGGCCAGCAAGAAUGGAGUCAUGGAACAUCGGCAGAAGGAGUGCAGCAGCGGCAACCGAUGUAUCCCUUGAACAAUCUGGUUUUGACAAGAUGCAAAUCAAUCUAGUGUACACUGGAUUCCACACUUGCAAAGAUUGUUUGGCUAAUUACAAGAUUAUCUCAUUGUUUUGGUUUGGAUUAAGAGUACACUUAUGUAUGAAAUAUUGAUUGGUACUCAUUUAUAUUAUUUUUUAUUAUAUUAUUAUUAAAUAUAUAUGUCUGUGUA